rnacentral:lncRNA from 1 species
GCAGUGAGCCCAGGCGGGCAGCCCUGGCCAGCAGCUCUUGUCCCUGUGGCUGGAGGCUGAAGUCCACGUAGGCCCCGGCGGGGAGCCGCUGGGGUGUAGGCCGGGUGCCUUUGUCCAAGCCUGGCGGUGCGUUCUCACUCUGAACUCACCUGAGCUGGAGGGUGGGUUGUUGCGGGACCCUUCCGCCUUCCGCUGUCUCGAAUUCCCUGGGUGUCUCCUCGCUGCUGUCUGCAGCUGAGGACACGUGGGUGCCCUUAAGAAGUUUCCAGACGCAGUGUUCGUCAUCUCUGACAGCGUGCAUGCAUUUUCCUUUGGGGUAACGAUAUGGUGCCGCGGUACUAGGUUUCCAGAUUUCUUCAGUCAAUAUGCUUAGUAAACGCGUACAGAGUUUGAGCCCACUCAGUGCUAGCGCCAUGUGAGGGCACAAACUGGGCACCCAAUACAAGGAAAGAGAGGAAUGUGCAGGGAGUUACCACCAUGUGCUCUGCUCCCCUUCUAAGGAUGAGGAAACUGAGGCCAGGGGAGAGUAAGGUGGCUGGCAAUAGAAAACGCGCGAAUGGCAGUGGCGGAAUUGAGAUUCGAACCCAGGCAGUGUAACUCCAAAUCCCAUCAGGACUCUUUGUGGUUAUGUUAGAAUGUUAGAGGGUGUGGAGGGAAGAACAAACUGAGGGGUGGAGGGGUUGGUUCUGUUAAGGGAAGUGUUCCUGG